GCUACGAUGGCCGAGCGGUCCAAGGCGCCAGACCGAUAAGACUUGUCUUCGGAAGAGGACGUGAGUUCAAAUCUCACUCGCAGUA
rnacentral:tRNA from 1 species